UACGUAGGCAGCGAGCGUUGUUCGGAAUUACUGGGCGUAAAGGGCGCGUAGGCGGUCUUUUUAAGUCUUGUGUGAAAUCCCUCGGCUCAACUGAGGAACUGCACGGGAUACUGGAAGACUUGAGUUCGGGAGAGGGAAGCGGAAUUCCGGGUGAGCGGUGAAAUGCGUAGAUAUCCGGAGGAACACCGGUGGCGAAGGCGGCUUCCUGGACCGGAUU
rnacentral:rRNA from 1 species